rnacentral:rRNA from 1 species
ACAGGGGCACGAUUGAGGAUAUUGGUCAUGGGCGCAAGCCUGAACCAGCCAUCCCGCGUGAAGUGUAUGAAGGCCCUAUGGGUCGUAAACUUCUUUUAUACACCAAGAAAAAGCAGGACGUGUCCUGCCCCGACGGUAGUGUAUGAAUAAGCAUCGGCUAACUCCGUGCCAGCAGCCGCGGUAAUACGGAGGAUGCGAGCGUUAUCCGGAUUCAUUGGGUUUAAAGGGUGCGUAGGCGGCUUUUUAAGUCAGUGGUGAAAUCUUGCCGCUUAACGGUAAAAUUGCCAUUGAUACUGAUAAGCUUGAGUACAAUUGAGGUAAGCGGAAUGUGUAGUGUAGCGGUGAAAUGCUUAGAUAUUACACAGAACACCGAUUGCGAAGGCAGCUUACUAAACUGUUACUGACGCUGAUGCACGAAAGCGUGGGGAGCGAACAGGAUUAGAUACCCUGGUAGUCCACGCCGUAAACGAUGAUCACUCGCUGUAUGCGAUACACAGUAUGCGGCCAAGCGAAAGCAUUAAGUGAUCCACCUGGGGAGUACGAUCGCAAGGUUGAAACUCAAAGGAAUUGACGGGGGCCCGCACAAGCGGAGGAACAUGUGGUUUAAUUCGAUGAUACGCGAGGAACCUUACCUGGGCUUAAAUGGGGAACGACAGCAGCCGAAAGGUUGCCUUCUUCGGACGUUCUUCAAGGUGCUGCAUGGUUGUCGUCAGCUCGUGCCGUGAGGUGUCGGGUUAAGUCCCAUAACGAGCGCAACCCUUAUCGUUAGUUGCCAGCGGGUGAUGCCGGGGACUCUAGCGAGACUGCCACCGUAAGGUGUGAGGAAGGUGGGGAUGACGUCAAAUCAGCACGGCCCUUAUGUCCAGGGCUACACACGUGUUACAAUGGCAAGUACAAAGGGCAGCUACCUGGUGACAGGAUGCUAAUCUCUAAAGCUUGUCUCAGUUCGGAUCGAAGUCUGCAACCCGACUUCGUGAAGCUGGAUUCGCUAGUAAUCGCAUAUCAGCCAUGAUGCGGUGAAUACGUUCCCGGGCCUUGUACACACCACCAUACGCAUAUGA